rnacentral:misc_RNA from 1 species
GAUGAAGAACGUAGUGAAAUGCGAUAAGUAGUGUGAAUUGCAGAAUUCAGUGAAUCAUCGAAUCUUUGAACGCACAUUGCGCCCCUUGGUAUCACGAGGGGCAUGCCUGUUCGAGCGUCAUUUCACCACUCAAGCCUGGCUUGGUGUUGGGCGACGUCCCCUUUAGGGACGCGCCUCGAAACGCUCGGCGGCGCGGCACCGGCUUUAAGCGUAGCAGAAUCUUUCGCUUUGGAAGUCGGGGCCCCGCCUGCCGGAAUACCUACUUGUAAGGUUGACCUCGGAUCAGGCAGGGAUACCCGCUGAACUUAAGCAUAUCAAUAAGCGGAGGA